CAACCUCCCAAGACUUGAGAAAGAAAGUAACUUUUGUCAUCGGAUUUUCUACCUAAAUUCAAAAAAUAGGCGCUCACACUAACUAUGCUGAUGGAGGUUUGAGCUCUAUUUAUAGCUAGAUUUUUAGAUGAAAUUAGCUCUUCCAUAGUAGUAGCCUAAGAGAUGAUAUCCCCUGGAUCCCAAUUCUCAUACCCGAACAACUUAGCAUUUCUGUAUUUUUAUAAUUCCUAUAGAAUGCAACAAGAUAGAAGAAUCAACGGUGUAUUGCCUGGGAGAGAAUGGAAUUUGAGCUCCUCCAUUAGUAGCUUCCAAGAUUCUGAGAUGGAUGUUGAGGCCAUUCUUUUAAUAUGAAACCCAACCUAGAGGACAACCAGGUAGCUUACUCUUUGAACAGGUAAAAAGAGGCUAUUAACUUUCUCGAAGUCCCAGCUUGGUGAAUGCUCUUUGAACAGCUGUUGGACUUAUUGUAUUUCAUAGCUUGUUGGGGCAACAGAUCUUGGCUUGAAUGGGUAAGAGGUAAGAAGCCAUGCAUCCUGCGAACAAUGAAUCAACGAGCCAUUACGGACCUGCCACCUUAGGCCUUGCUUUAGGACCUCUCGACCAUGCAACAUGCUGCGCCAUGCCCAGGACGCCUUUGAGAAAGUUCACGCAUUCAAAAAAUAAGAGAUGAAUUUUCCUUGAAAAACUUUAG